GCCAAUCAUAUUGCAGGGGGCGUGUCCCGCCUUCAGCUCAAUGUGACGUGAUCCACGAUGCAGUGUCGAGAAAUAAUAUUUCUGCAGAGGAUGCGUAAGUGGCCCCUCGAUUUAAACUAGUCUCGAACCUUAUUCAAGACAGCCGAGAAAGAAGCUCCUGAAUAUAGCGGCAUGAAACCAACUUGCUGGUCGUGUUCGAAGCUUUAAGAUCGACCCUAACAUGUCUGUGGAGCUCUUAUCUCUGAGCCAAACUCGAGGAAACGAUGAUGCUCCCCAAAACACCGCAGUGGGAGGAGCUAAACCACUACAUCGGUUCAUCAAUGCUCAACCGCAGCUUAUUGGGAUUGCCGUGCUUAUCAUGGGAGUAUCGUUCGUCAUUACCACCAUUGUUAUGGCAGAACCAAUUCAUGAUUCCCAUGUAUUUAAAACCAUCCCACCAGGGUAUGUGAUUGGAGCACUGUUCAUAAUAUGUGGGAUUCUGUUUAUUAUAACGGAACACAACCCAACCAAACAAACAGUGACUGUAUCCUUGGCUCUAAGCAUAGUGGCCAUACUGACGUCAGUGUGGACUGCCAUUAUUGUCAUUCCCGAAAUGGAACACUUUGAGUAUUAUUACACCACCGAUGAGUAUGUUGAAGUCGACAACAUGACAUCCAAGGAGGAGGAAAGAAUUUUGUGGGCGAAGACUGAUGUAAAUACUGUUUAUAUUAUACAGUACAAGGUUUGGCUUUUAAUUGUAUCACUGUAUGUAGUGCAACGCACCGGUACUUGUAAUACCAAAUCUAACUCAAUACACUGUAGGAACGGGCACCUGAAAUGCCGGAUGGGGCAACAGUUAUUAAUCAGUCCCACGGGGGACGUACACAUAGUAGCCUGCACUUUCUAACCCAAUAUUUGACAAAAUGCCAUUUUGAAUCUGGACAAAAUACGUACAUACGUGCAAAAUACGUGCUACUAAUAUAUUUCAUUUUUCAUAAUACGUUUCUCGAUGCAUGUAUAAAAGAUGUUCAAUCCUAACCCAACACCAAAAGGUUUGAAGCAAACAACAAAAUAACCACAUGCUGAGAAUGUUUUUCCCCUCAGUGCAAAAGGUUCUCUUGCAUAAAAGCAACCACUCAAGGACAGCACAAAACUGCUGAACACCAAAUCAACCCGCAUUCGCAUUUUCCCCCUACAUGAAAAUCAACGUACUCAAAAUUUCAAUAUUAUUGAAGGACUACGUUUGUCCUGUAGGUCAUCCCAAAUCCCCCCCCCCCCAAAAAAAAAAAGAUAUCCACGUUGGAGUAUGUGGCGCUAUGAGACCUGGUGCUAGCGUCACUCACAUGGUUUUACAUGCGCCUUAUGCAGCUCAUUGCUUGCGGUCGCUAGCAUGCAAUUCAAUUUUUGAAAAAUGGGCACAUGCAUGGCUGCAGGACGUCACACAUAAAUCUGCAAAGGUGUGAAGCGCAAUAGAUUUCCCCGUGACGUCAAGAGAAGCAAAAUAAGGGCCGAGAAGGUUAUCAAACUGACAUUAUCCAUGGUCUUCAUGUGCUAUGUCUUUGUCGGUUUGAUUAUUUUCAUCGUAAUGUCAUCGCUGGCCACGGCAGCCCUGCGUUCCACUCGCAGCCAGGCCAUUGUUGUCAUGUCCAGAACAGCCAAUGCAGCACCGACUGAGUUACAAGACGAACGGUCAAAUUAGUGGGUACAAAUUUAUAGAAAUUACGACAUGACCUUGGAACUAAGCUUCAAUUUGGCGUGUUGUGGUGUUUUUGCAUAACACAAUAUGAUCAAAGUGUCACGUAUGGUGGUGGUGGAGGACCCCAAUAAGCAGGCAGGAAGGAGGAGCAGGGUGAACUUGACAAAUUGUAUUGAUAAAAACACAGAAAAAAUAAAUCCAAAAGAAACAUGGUCCUAAGAACAAAAAGAAUCCAAAGUAUCAAACAAAAACCAUGACUGAAGCAAAAAAAAAAAAAAAACUAACAGUGAUCGAAACAUGACUGAAACAUGACAAACAAUGACAGCAAACAAACAAUUGUCGUGCCGGGAGUCCUUUUAUACAACUAAUGACGUAAUGACCAACAGGUGUGCCGCUGCAGGUGGAGCCCUACAGUGCCACCUGAUGGUCACAAACAGAACCGUGACAAAAAGUUUUCCGAAAAUUAUCCUUGUAUCGUUAAUAAAAACAUGUAAUGGACACGAAGAUCACUUUUGGUAUAUAAAGUGCAAAUGAAUACUCUUUGACAACGCUGUUACAAUCAAAAGUAAAAACCUACUUGUAUCAAUGAAGAAUAGUCAUUCAUUGCAAUGGUCGCCUUAAUUAAUGAUGUAUAAUCUAUUCUGUACCUUGUGCUAAGUGACAUAUCAGCGUUCCGCAUUUUAAACCCUAACCAUUACGUCACAGAUGUUUAAGCGUCUCUUUGAGUUUUGCAGUACAAAUGUAGAGUUGUGAAACGUCAAUAUAGUGCCAAAUUAUACCAACAACAUGCCGGGCAGCACUGAGGUUGACUGGAAGUUACGCAGCGCUAUUCACAACAAUAAAAAGAGGUUUGUCAUUCAUAAUAAAUGCCUGUGAAUAUUG